rnacentral:tRNA from 1 species
GGGCGGUUAGCUCAGCUGGCUAGAGCACCUGCCUUACAAGCAGGGGGUCACUGGUUCGAGUCCAGUACCGCCCA